UACGGGGGGGGCAAGCGUUGUCCGGAUUGACUGGGCGUAAAGCGCGCGCAGGCGGAUGCGCGCGUGGGGUGUGAAAUCUGGCCGCUUAACGGCCAGGCGCCAUCCCAUACGGCGCGUCUGGAGUGAUGCAGAGGUCGAUGGAAUUGCCGGUGUAGUGGUGAAAUGCGUAGAGAUCGGCAGGAACACCCAGGGGGAAACCAGUCGACUGGGCAUCUACUGACGCUGAGGUGCGAGAGCGUGGGGAGCGAACCGG
rnacentral:rRNA from 1 species